GUUAGCAGCAUGUAUGCUUACAAUUGUACACUCUCAGUGAGAAGCAGGAUGAAGAGGAGGCAGUUUGUCUGGACUGAGAUCCACGAACCCUGGGAAUCUGGAGGCAGAGGGUAUUGUUGAGAUGACCAGAAAGCAGCCAGUUGGCCCACAUCUAUUUCAUCAAGUCCUCAGCCCAGUGGAGGUUUGUGCUGCCCUCAGACACCAGUGACCUGGGAUUUCUGCAGUCAAGAGGGAGCUAAUAAUGGUGCCAGGGUCACUUGGGGGAAGAAGCAAGAGCAGGACUUAAGAUCUUUCCCCCAGUCUGAGCUCUUCAUGCCACCGCCAGCUGCUUCUGCCCCGGCUGGAAUCACCAACAUCCCACAGCCCCUCCUGGGCAGCUUCAGUUAGGAUGUCUAACUUCAGUUCCUGUUUUCGUUUGUUUGUGGAAACCAUACUCUCU
rnacentral:lncRNA from 10 species